AAUCUUGCGCAAUGGGCGAAAGCCUGACGCAGCAACGCCGCGUGGGGGAUGAAGGCCUUCCGGGUUGUAAACCCCUUUCGGCAGGGACGAAACUGACGGUACCUGCAGAAGAAGCCCCGGCCAACUACGUGCCAGCAGCCGCGGUGAUACGUAGGGGGCGAGCGUUGUCCGGAUUUAUUGGGCGUAAAGAGCUCGUAGGCGGCUUGGUCAGUCGAGUGUGAAACCUCCAGGCUCAACCUGGAGCCGCCACUCGAUACUGCCAUGGCUAGAGUCCGGUAGGGGACCACGGAAUUCCUGGUGUAGCGGUGAAAUGCGCAGAUAUCAGGAGGAACACCGGUGGCGAAGGCGGUGGUCUGGGCCGGUACUGACGCUGAGGAGCGAAAGCGUGGGGAGCGA
rnacentral:rRNA from 1 species